UGUUAAACCAUAUGUUGUGACUCAUUUUGAAACUAUUUCCCUUUUGUUUCAUCAACUUGUCCAUAUGCUUAGUUAUUUAGCUUGUUCUCAUAAAAGAGAAUGAUGGACAACUCCCAACAUAUAACCAUUUUAUGCUAGGUUGAUGAAACCAACAUUCAAAGACUAUUCUUUAGAAUGUCACACAACAUAGAAUUUUAACGUUUGAAGAACUUGAGUCCUUUUAACAAUUAAAAUUACAAACUUUUAAUAAUAGUCAAGUACUAUUAUUCUUUAGACAACUAUAAACCAAUCACAUUCAAGUUUAUAUCCAUUUUCACACCUCCCACUAUUUCUCAUGACUUUAAUGAGAAAUCAUUUCAUACAUUCAAAAUGUAUAAAAGUUGAGUAUAUUGGAAGAAGACAUUGUGUAGUAGCUUUAAAACAUUUCAAGCUUAUUUGUUUCAAUCUUC
rnacentral:lncRNA from 1 species